AGUGAACGCUGGCGGCGUGCCUAAUACAUGCAAGUCCAACGGAGUGGCGCACGGGUGUGUAAUGUAUAGCUAAUCUGCCCUACACUAGAGGACAAAAGUGGGAAACGCCUGCUAAUACCCUUUAGUGUAGGAUGAGGCUAUAUUGUAUCAGCUAGUUGGUGAGGUAAUGGCUACGCAAGGCUAUGACGCAUAACUGGUCUGAGAGGAUGAUCAGUUAGACUGGAACUGAGACACGGACCAGACUCCUACGGGAGGCAGUAGUAGGGAAUAUUGCUCAAUGGGGGAAACCCUGAAGCAGCAGCGCCGCGUGGAAGAUGACACUUUUCGGAGCGUAAACUCCUUUUGUUAGGGAAGCGGUACCUAACGAAUAAGCACCGGCGAAGUCCGUGCCAGCAGCCGCGGUAAUUC
rnacentral:rRNA from 1 species